rnacentral:lncRNA from 1 species
GUCCUUGAAUUUGUUGUAGACGGGACCAACAACAGUGGUUACGGUUCCCUCCACUGUUUCAACAGCGGAUCUCAAAGGUCCCGAGUUCUUCUUAGCGGAUUCAUACAGAUAUGAGACAAACACAUAAGUAUGAAUAGCAGCGAUCUUCACAAACCCAAGGCGCUUUAGUUCUUUGUUCUUGUUCUCAACCUUCAGAAAUUACAAACUUCAACUCUAUUAAACAACAAAAAAUCGCAGAAACAAACAAAAUUAAGAAAAGCUAAAAAUAUAACUAUGCUAACAACCUCGUUGGUGGCCAUUGAUUAGUCUGUGAUGGAACUUGUUUUGUAAGAGGUAAAAAUCAAUUAUGUUUUAUAAUGAAACAGCAACAAAAGGCCCACGGAAUGGAGUGAAACAAACGGUGAGAAAUAGGAUUUGGAGAGAAAGAUUUUCAACCUUGUUUGAUUGUGAUUUGAUUUUGGUGUUAAGACUCAAGGAAUAGGGCGGCUUAUAUUAGCAUCUCAAUCUCAUCUUUUGCCAUAAUAAAUCAAAAACAUCAUUCUGCGUUCGUCAAGGUGGGGGCCCACAUUUACACCGACUCCUAGGGAUCUUUCUAGGCAAUACUAGGCGUUUCUAUAAGCCACGUGGCGGUUUCUCAGAAUUUGAGAAUUUUUUUUGGAGUUGAGGCAGUGACCGUGAUGCCACUCUAUGCGUAUUGAGUGUUUUAAGGAGUCACAUUUCUUUGUGUGGAUCCAUUUUUAUGUCAGGGGAUUAACAAACUGCUUGACUGAGUUGUUAAAUAAAAUUGUUAACAAAAGCAUUCAGAUAGGAAAUUCAAUUGACUUAGAAAUCAAUAUUACAACAUACUUGCAUUUGAUGUUAUAAAAAUUAGAAUCAAAUAUUUGUAUGAAAAACUAUCUAUAAUAAAAUUGUAAUAUCAACAUCAAUUAUAUCAAAAUUAGAUUGCAUUAUAAGAAGUGGACAUACAAAUAUGCAGCUUUAGAAAAUAAGAAAAUUAUGAAUAGACUAGACAUUUUUAGAAUAUAUACUGCGUUAGAGUAAAUUGGAUUGCAUUACAGUAUGAGUGGUGUCACAAAUUAUAAUUAUCAGUAAUCAAAUCAGAGUUACUUUCUGUUAAGUUACUAGUGGCUGUCAAUUGUAUCUCUCAAUAGUAUCUUUUGAUAUUGAUCAUAUACUAAACUCUUUCUUUGAACGCAACUUAGUGGCUGUCAAUUUUCAGCUCUGAUUGGUUCUUCCAUCCAAUGGAACCUUUCUAAGUUGAUAAGAUUCUAAUGGAUUUAAACUUUGGAGGUACAGAUAAUUAGUAAUUUCUCAAAAUAUAAUAUAUGGCAAACCUUAGGCCCGCUAAUGAAAUGGAAAAUGAAUAAACUACAACGAGUAGAAGAAGCUGGACGAUAAGGCGCUGAGAGCAGUUUUAUGAACUAAAAUUUUUAAAUAUAAAAAUCCUUGGAAGUAAAAUAGCAAUACUUGGCGUAAGCCAGUAACAAAGAAGUCGGACAAGAAAGCAACUAAAGAUUUUUCUUACAAAGCAUUGUCUCUAUGACUGUAUGCAUUACUAAAUGCUUAAUUGUAUGGUAUAUAAGUUUGAGAUGCGUAUCAGUUUUUGUUUGUGUCAUCCACAAAUACUGAGCAAUCCAUAAAUCAGGUUCAUGGAGCCUGUGAUCUCUGACGCUUCACACUUUGAUGGAUAGGAUCCUUGACCUGCAAUAGAAGGAUAGAAUGAAAAAAGUAAAAAAAUGUUCUGCAAUCAAUUAUAAAUUACAAGACAUUGAAGUAAAUAGUUGCAUAAGCGUGAGAAAUAAGGAAGCCAGAGUAUACCGCGCUUGCUUUCCUGGGGCGUUUGUCCUGGGAUGACCUACUGCAGAUAAUUGUAUCAGCUGCGUCGCCUUCAUUUGCAAUUCCAUUUCCAUUUGCUGUGCUGUUCUCUUUCCCGUGCGCAAAACUCUCUCUUGAAGCAACUGGCUGUAAUUGAAAAAUAAAUUACAUUAUCAGUUACAUGCUAGUAACAUUCAACCACAGAAACCAGUGCCAAAAAUCAUAGAAACUGAAAUAUCAAUCAAUCAAUAUAUAACUUGCCCCAACCCUGCUAGUUGGAGUGGUCCCUGGCUCUUUUGCCUUUGGCAUUUUCGGUCCACUCAUAGAGUCAGUAUCAUUUAACUCAGAUGUCACUUUCAUUCGUGUUAAAUCCGAUCCAAUGGAGUGGAGAACACCACAUGUUGAGAUGUCGCGGUUGCUACCUGUUUACCAAGAAAGCAGGCAUAUGAUAGUUGUAAGUUGACUAAGUAUCAUCAAUACUGAAAAGAAAGCUACAGAGUUUGUGGUAGGAUACAAAAUAUUAAUAGCCUUUACCACUCAUACGGUAACCAGCUUUUUUGGACUUGCUAUUUGGUUCACAGUGAUCAACAUCCUGUAAAAUUUUAAAAGGUGCAAUACGUAAACAAACUCAAUGAUAAAUGGUAAUAUGUAAUUAUAAACCCCAAAUGAUCCGCAGUUAUUAGUUAUUACCAUAGCUUCAGCAGCACCUAGAGCUUGUUGGACCUCAACAUAUUUACGCUCAGUCAACUCAGAAUGGAUCACACGUUUUCCUAUUAUACAGAAGUUAUAAGUAACCAAAAACAGAAGAAGACAAAAAACUGUAGGAUUAUUAUUUGAGUUGAUUAAUCUGAUACCUAGUCUUUUGCUGCCUUUAGGUUCAACAAACCCAUCCCUGGUCAUUUUUUCAAUUAUCUUUCUUGCUGCUGUUUGGCUUAUUUCUCCCUGGAAUGAGCUUUGAAGCUUGGUGACUGACACAUACGCCAUUGGAAGAGUAUGGUAGAGAGCCUGAGAUAUUUAUACAGCAGUUUAAGAGAUUCAUGAUCAUACAUUGUGUGGUUUACUGACUACAGACUCCAUCCUCUGACUCAUCAGAGAUGCAGAGUCUUUUCAGAGAUAUAAGGUACAUUUCACAAUGAGCAGUAAAUAAAACUAACUUGAAUGAGGACACAAUUUCAUUCUCUAUCCCAAGUUCAAAUAAAGUGUUAAGUUUCCUUUGGGGCCAAGAAACACCACUUUUAUACUUGAGCUGUUGAGCACUAGUUGUUGUGACUAUAGGUGGCAUAGAAUACAAUUUACAAGACAGCUAGGAUCUUCAGAUUUAUCACAUACACAAAAAAGAGGAACAAUUAAACUCACCUUCAUGUAUAUGAGAUCUUCACCCUGCAAAGCUCUAUCAAGGACUGGAGGAUUUUGACCAUCAAAUUCUUCUUUCACAAUGGUGAAUUCAUAUUCAGAUUUCUGAAAAUAAAGGGCAAUCAUAAAUAAAAUGGGAAAAAAAAAUACUACUAGAAUCAAAGUUCGUUCAAUUAAGAGAGAAAAAAAUAAACCUUGUCCUUCUUAAUAGCAUAAGUGUCAUUCCCUAUUUUUGAUAGUUCACCUUCCUUGACGAGGUUGUCCAUGAUCUCUGAAGAACGAAACAAAAUCAAGCAAAUGAGUAUGGAAAGGCAUGAAGUCUGCAGCACAUUGAACGUGGUGAUAGAAAUUUCUACCUUCAGUCAGAACCUGCAAGUAAAACAAUUCAAUUGAAAUUAUAUUAGACAAAAGAUUAGAAGAAUAGGAACUGAAAUUGAAGUUAGGCCAUAAUCUUAAAAAGGCCAAGCAAAAGCAUAAUCUGACUAGUCAGGGAAAAGGCUAGGUACCACUGAGAUGUCUGGAAAGUUUGAUAGAACAUCAGUAAGAUCAACGGUGUCAAGGUGACAACAGCUGAGCCACUCCUUGAUCCGAACCAAUUGUUGCUCAUCUUCAACCGGAUCCUGGGUAUUGUCUGAAAGAAGUAGAGUUCAUUAGCUAUUUUUAAUUAUAGGCUUAUAGCCUAGUAAUUGUAUUAACAGCUGCAUAGAACUAGAAAAAAAACUGCAGAGCCCUAUGAAAAGAGUGUUAUAAAUGCCAUUCCUCUUGGUCAAUUUAUCAUAUAAAUACUUACACACAAACAAUUUUAUGUUCGAGAGCAAAGAGCCUAGUUUACCUUCAUCAAUCUCGCCAUUAUCUUCCUGUUCUUGCUGUUUCUCUGUCAUUGUUAACUUGUUAAAAUAAUAUACUGGAGAAUAUUAAAUAAAUUGUGUAGCAAUAAGUAAAAUAAUCCUAAUCACCUAUGGGUGCAACAAUAUAUUGAUCCCCUUGGCCUUGAGUAUGAUCAACCUGAAAAUUGUAAAAUCUCAAAUUAGAGUAACACAUUUACUUUAGUGGUUCAUGUCUUUCAGUUACAAUCACAAAAAUCUUCACUGCAGUGACUAUAUCAAGCAACAUCCUCACUUACCUCACUGUCAGUAUCAUAAUAAUCAUUAUUCUGCAUUUCAUCAUCACUCAUAUCAUCUUGGAUUCCCUCAUUGUCAUCCUCACAAGGGUCCAGCACACUCUUCACCUAUAAAAUGGAAGAAGAUAUCGUCAGCAAAAACAUUAGAAAAAUAUUUAAAACUUGGCUUUGAGCAGGAUAUCCUUCAAUUACCUUCAGAGCUAACACAAAAUGCUUGCUGUUUACAUUCCCAACCUCCAUUUUCAGUGGAUUUUUCACCCAAGGAUGAUUUGCUUCUUCUUCACUGCAGCCCCUGAAGAAAGGAGGCUCAUAAUCUGAUGGCUGCAUGACAGACAAGUAUAAAAUGUGAAAUUUCCCUUAUAUUAUUCAGCACAGUGGAAUAACAGAAUGUUGAAAUGUUAACCAAUUGCAUAACAAAGCACAUGGUCAUUUUGUAUCGAUGUUGUUUUAACCAUUUCCCUAUUUAAACAACAACCUAGUCAAAAAUGCAUUUCAAGUCUAAAGUCUAGAGCCUAAACAGUUCAGCAAUCCAUAUGAGAGCUAAAGAAUUUCACAAACAAAUUAUAUGUAUCUGAGAUUUCCUAUUCCAUAUUAAAGAACAUACCGUCACAUCAUCAUAGUAGAGGAGCUUCAUCAGAAUGGUACGCUGAAAACAAAAUAGAAUUCAGUUUUUGCAAUGAAAUUAAGAAAUCUGAAGAGCGAAUUAUGUGGUGAUAAUGUGAUAUCAAGCUAAGCAUUCUAAUCCACUCACCUCUUCUGGCAUUUUCUCCAGAGUUCUCAUCAACUGAACUAGAGUUCUUAUCAUUUUGCAAGCAGAACUCCUAAAUUAUAUCACAUACAUAUAACAUUAGUCUAAUUAUCAUGAUAAGAUGAUACUAAUUCAGGUCCAAAUUAUAUUUUAAUUUGUAAAAACAACCUCAUCUGCUGGGGAGUGAUAUCAGUAGUUGAGUUACACUUGAAGGCUCCCCCCUGCUUUUUGCUUCCAGUGCGGUUGAUGUUCAUUGAAACCUCUUGCUUCUCGGAAUCUGAAUAGCUAAAGGAAACUGCAAGAGAAAAGUAGCUAUGUUUAUGAAUCUUCCAUAAGUGUCUCAAAUUAAAUUAUACUGGAAUCUACAUUUUGCAACUACCAUAUAUAGCAGUCUUCCUAAAGCAAUAACCUAUGUUCGGUAUUCAUUCAAAUACAAUUUCCCAAUUCCAUCACAUUCAAAUAACCUAUGCCAAAUCCUUACAUGCAUAUUCCUCAAUCAUCGGUCCAUCCACUGCUUCACACACACAGAAUAGAAGAGUCUUCAGGUACUUCUUCUGCAAGGCAUCGUAAACACCUGGAAAAGAAAUACAAUAAGUCAAAUCAAAACAAGCAAUUAAAACUCAUUUUCUAUAAGUUCAAUCAGAUAAUAUAGCUUAAACGUGCCUUUCUCCAUCCAAUCAAUCAGUCUCCGAGACUCCGCAUCGACCGGUAAAAGCUUUUUGAUCUUCAUCUCUGUUAUUAAAGCAUAGUUAUAGGUUAAAUUCAAGGACAAAUACUAGAAGAUUCAGUGUAAACAUUAAACAGUAAAAAACGCAAACAACUGGAGGACUGAAUAGUGAUUUUACCUAACGCGGGAACAGACUUGUCAUUGAAGUACUUCUCAGGAAAUAGUCCUCUGAUAUAACUGAUGUUGAAUAUAGCAAUUCGGAGCAGAUUCCUUGUCUGGUACACGAAAAUUCAAAUUAGAUUAUGAAAUUUCAAAAUUCGAAUUCCAUGUUCAGUGUUAAAUUAAUGCAUCUGAAAUUGAAGAAACUUGAUCCAUGAAAUCAACAUGUCUCCAUGUGACUCAAACCAAACUUCAAAAAGCAGAGAUUACAUAUUCUCAGAAAUACUUAAAAUAGCAAUGUAAUGAAAUUUAAGAUCGAGAACUCCAACUUCUAGAUCUCUGAUUUUACCGAACAUAAACGAAGCUUAAUUGUGAAUUCAUGUCAAAAUAGAUCAAAACAUUUUUACUCAUGAAAAAAGGUUUGGUGAUUGCUCAUAUUAGCAAAUGAAGUGCGUAGAAUUUGAUUAACAAAUUAACUAUGACAUUUCUACAAUUUUGAAACCUAAAUUAACUGAAGAAAUCACAAAAUGCAGUGAAAGCUAUAAACGAUGAACUUAUGCAGUAGUUCAACACAAAUAAAAUUAGCGAAAACUGAAUUAAAUUAAAAAAAUAAUUAUGAAGUUUAUACAAUUUUGAAAACUAAAUUAAGUGAAGAAAUAAAAAAAUUCACUGAAAACGAUGAAGAUGAAGUGAAAAUGCAGAAGUUCAACAAAAAUAAAAUACACAAAAAACGAAGAAAAACUCAGAUCCGUAUGAUUUUAGUGCUAUGAGAUGAAAAUGAAAACGAAGCGUUAGUUAAUCACCAGAAGAAGUGAAUCCUGCUCGGUGAUUUCAGCUUCCUUGAGUUUCUGUGCAACAACCUGGAAGAAUGAAAUGGAAGAUUAAGAAACCGUAGCAUGAGAGAGGAAGAUGAUGAAGAAAAUAGAAAGAAGAUUCGAGAAGCUUUUUGAAAUCACCAUGGUGGAUCAGUGGUUGAACACGAGAGUUACAAACUCAAAGAAAAAGGUGGAGAGAAGAGAACUCUGUUAACUAAUUUGUUAGAAAAUUUUGAAUGGAAAAAAGUAAUGUGGCGGGAGAGAAUGAAAAGUGUGAGCUAAGGUGUGUGUGAUAUUUAUAGGCUGAAGAGUGAAGGGUGAUCACAAAGAUGCACCACUACACGCGCUGGAACUGCUUCCGUUACGGUGCUGAAAGUUUAUUUAGAUACUGUUAAAUUUUUAAAUUUGAAAGUUAAAUAUGCCGUUUGAUUUGACGAUGGUUAGCUACUUGCUUGGUCACGCAUAUUUGGUUGGUGAGUGAAUUGGCGCGAAAAGGGAAUAGAUGAUUCUCUGCACCGUUAACUAACGACUGGUCCUCGUUACGAUGCACAAGUUGCUUCUGAUUGCAUGAAUUCGUUCAAUUUAACCUCAAAUAUGACCUUAUAAUUUAUUAUUUAUUUCAAAUUCUUUGCAUUUCUCAUAAGUUAAUCUCUGAUAUGGGGAUGUUAAUUGACUAGGACCACUCCCCGUUUAAAACCUUUAUUGGAAGAAGAAAAAAUGAGUCUCAUUAAGCAACGGACAACUAUAUAAGGAUCAUCUCUCUCAUAAGAAACUAACGGGUCGCACGUUUAAAAAGAAAUAAUAAAAUAUGUAUUAGUUGGUCUUAUUUACAAAAGAAGUAAUAUUUUUAUUACUUUUAAUUUGAGUCCUUAUUAGUAAAACAUAUUUAAGCUGGUGGAACCUAUUUAAGUAUAUUUGAUUGGAGUCUUUAUUAGUGUAUUGUCAUUGGAGUCAUUGAGUCCUUAAUAGCUACUUUCAUUAAAAAAUUAUAAAUAAGUAACGUGUACAAGUGAAGUCCAUUUAAGGAGUCUAUGUUAGUGUACUACCAUUGUGGAUGCUCUAAUAUAUUUAUUUCAAAAUAUAUGCAUUGAUCAUGGGCAUGAAACAAGUCAUUAGUUUCGGACAAGUGUUUUUAAGUUUUCACUUAUUUAUAUUUUGGCUUAACAGCAGUUAUGGCUCCCUAAGUAUUACGAUCUGACGAUUUUCUUCCUCUAACAAAAUAAAUUACAACUCAGCCCCCUAACCCUAAGUACUGCCUCUUUUGUAGUUUUGUCCCCCUAGGCCAAUUUUAACGGAGCCAACGCACACGUGGCACCACACUUAAGUGACUAGGAUGUCGCAUGUGUAAUUUUUUAAUUAAAAUAAAAUAAAAAAGCCAAAUAUAUAUUUAUUAAAUUAAAAAAAAUGGAAGAAACAACCAGAAAUUUCUCAACCUAAACAGCUUGGCGGCCUUGGGUUCAGAACGGCGAGGGAAACAAACAUUUGUUUACCAAGAAACUGGUUUGGGAUAUGGUUCAGUCAUCUCUUAAACUUUGGGUCCAGCUCCUCUCUGACAGAUAUGCCAUGGGUGUGAAUACGCUUUUGGCUUCAGCCCGUCCUAGUGUCUCUGUUAUUUGGUCUUCUAUCCUUCACGCUCGAGACGUCCUCAAAGAUGGUUUUUCUUGGCGUGUCGGGUCGGAUAACUCUUCAUUCUGGUCUUGUCCUUGGAGCUCUCUUGGCAUCUUAGGGCGCAUACCUCCUUACAUUGACAUCCAUGAUCUCCAAUUGACAGUGAAAGAUGUGAUAUCCUCAAAUAAUCCUCAUACAAAUAUCCUUUACACCCAACUUCCUCCCUUUGCGGCUGACACCAUCAACAACAUUCACUUCAAGUUCAAUGCCUCAGUAGAAGACACUUUCAUCUGGCACAACAACAAGAAUGGCACCUAUACACCAAAAAGCGGAUACAGUUGGCUUCUCUCUCGCAAGGAACUGGUAAUCAUCUCCAAUCCUCCUCCCUCUUGUUCUUGGAUUUGGAAGCUUCAUAUGCCGGAAAAGAUUAAAUUAUUCUUUUGGUUGGCUUGCCACAACUCGGUGCCGACUCUUUCCAUGCUCAACCAUAGAAACAUUGCUCCUUCCCCUGUUUGUUCUCGAUGUGGCCUCCACGAUGAAACUUUCCUCCAUUGUGUGCGGGAUUGUGCUCAUUCUAAAAGUAUUUGGCAGCGGAUUGGUUUUAUUCAUAAUGAUUUCUUCUCUACUUCUGUCACUCAUGAGUGGCUUAAGAACAACUCAGUGGGUCAUCUUUCCUUCACUUUUGCAGCAACUAUUUGGUGGGCAUGGAGGAAUAGAAACAUGAUGUGUCUUGAAAAUGAAAAUUGGACUCUCAAUUAUAUUUCUUACAACAUUCAAGGUAUGGUUGAUACUCUAAAAAUAUCAUUCCCUUCUUCUCGUAACAGUGAUAUAGAGGAUAGAUUUGUCAAGUGGAACCAUCACAAAUGGUGGUGUUCUCAGAAACGAUGCAAGGUUUUACUUGUCUUGGUUUUCUGGUUAUAUUGAAAACUCGUCCGACAUCCUUUAUGCGGAGCUUUAUGCCAUCUACCAGGGCCUCUUGCUUGCCAAAGACAAGGGUAUUAUGGAUCUUAUCUGUUAUUCUGAUUCCUUAUUAUGCAUCAAUAUCAUCACCGACCCCUUCUUGAAGUUCCAUGUUUAUGCCGUGUUGAUUCAAGACAUUAAAGAGUUAUUGGAGCAGGUUCAAGCAACUAUGAGUCACACCCUUCGGGAAGGAAAUCAUUGUGCGGAUUUUAUGACCAAACUUGGUGCCGCUUCCAACAUUGAUCUUGUUCGCCACGACUCUCCACCCUCGGAGCUGUUACCUUUCCUCCGGAACGAUGCUAUUGGCACUUUUUAUAUUAGACAUUAGUUCUCUGUUUUCUUUUUCUUUUUUGUUUCUUCCUUUGUUCCUUCUCUUUGCUUUUUAGCCAUUGUAACCAACAAAAAAAAAACCAGAAAUUUAAUGACAAGGAGAAUGGUUGAUAGAUAAUUUGGUAAUAUUUAACGAUGAGAGUCUCCUAUACCCCUUUUCUGGUUCAACGGUGUCAUUACAACUUUAAUGACAAGGAGAAUGCUGUUGUUAAUAUCAUAAUAUAAGUAACCGAAAGAGAAAAAAAAUCAUAAUAUAAGAAGUGUUACAACAAACAAAAGGGCUCUCCUUUCCUACACAAUGUUCAUCAAUGCACAAUUUAUUCAGACAAGAAAUCCCUUCCAUUUGUAUUCAAAGGAUGCACAGCAGUAGCAAUUUUAUCCCGGAGCUUGAACCUUUGAGCAAUUUUGGGCCGGACAUCAUCAACUCCUACCAAACUCUCCAAGAAAGGAAGUAAUAAAAGCAAUUCUUUAUCCGAAGGAUCGCCAAACCAACUCUUAAUUGGUAUUCCAUUGUCCACUUGGAAUCCAAAUGCCUGGGAACAAAGAAAAAUAACAGCAUAAAGCAUUAACAUUUACCAUUGUAAUUUUCAAGAACAACGUCCAAUCAUUUUUCUUUAAAUAAAGCCAAAUUGUAAAAUUGCAUAGCUUGGUUUUUUAUGUUAAGAGAUAUCUGCUAUGUACAUAAGGAGAAGUCACAAAAUUUUAUGCCUUUUCCAUAUAAACACAAUUCAGCUUUAAUUAUAUCUUCAAUGUCUAAGCUUUUGCUAAACUAAAUAAAAUAAAAAAGAACAUUGUUAUAUAUUUUUGCACUGUUGUUAUAAUAUUGAGUUGGGAACAUUCUAUAUAACUAAAGUUUUGAGACUGUUUAGAGAGUAAACAGCUCAGGUAUUCAGAGAGAUUUAACAAGAUACCGAAGGUUCCAAAUGCAACUAUAAGGGCGGCAUGUUAGAACUGUGAGCUAUAAUGAGUGUAACAACUAUAUCGAAGCCAAAACAUAUAAUACUACAAACAUACCCGUCGGGAGUUGUCAAUUAUCAUAACAUGUGCUAAAUCACAACCAAGCACUGUUAAAUCUUUGAGGUAAUUCCCCUCCACUUUAACACAAGAUUCACGGAAUACACGAUGGCGAAAUAUCUUCCGCUUUGGAUCAAGCAAAUUUAGGAGUUGCUCAGCAUAAAUACUUUGACUAGCUGUAAAUAUAAUAAUCUCAAAAAGACCAGAAACUCUCUCAAGGAAUUCUUUUAGGUGAGGACGGCAGCGUACAUAGACAAUGUACUCCUCAGAUUUAAAAUUCACAGUGAAAGUAAAGUCUACAUCCUCAGAAGGUUUCAGGGAAGAGUGCACCAAAGUUUCUGCAGAGAGAAAAAUACCAAAACAAAGCAUAAAAAUGAGCAGUUCAACCAAAGGUUGUGCAAGAGAAAAGGAAAAUAUGAAUGCGAUAAACUGAAAAAAAAUAAUUAUACAAACAGGAAGAAUAGAAAAAUCCAUUUACCACUCAAAAAAAAUAAAACAUGUUUACAGCUAGCAAGCAUUUUCAAAUAGUUGGAUAGCUUCAGAUACAAGAUCACUUUAAUUAAAUGGAGACCAGUCCUAUGCAGAAAGGUGGUUUUCAGGUUUUGCAUUACUAGAAGUCUAGAACUCACAGCCAAAAAGUUACAAGGCAGCUUCUUUAUGAUUAUACCAUUGUGAGUUGAAAUUAAAGCAUCUAAUUAGCAACUUAAAAUUGGGAUAUGACUUUCUUACCAUCCAAGUCCAGGACAAGAGUGAUAGGAGGGCAGCUCCGAGUCCAUGACUUGUAACAAAAAACACUAAGCAAACUUCAGAACCAUUUUAUCGCAAAUUUACAUGAUCACUAUCACUAUUUUUAGAUACUUGGAUUAAUUACAAGAUCUUACUAAUUAACGUCAAACAUUCAUAGCCACAACUAGGCCCAAAUUGUCUCAACAUAGAAAACAAAGUCGCUUAGAAGCAAAUUUUUUAGAAGAGUAAAACUCAAUCAGUAUAAGAUUAUUUUGAUUUCUUAUCCUUAACUUCUCCCUUCUUAAAUGCCUUAGAUAUAUCAUCAAUAGGAAUCAAAGCUAAAUACCCAACAAAACUAUAACCCUUUCCAGCCAUGUCCUUGAUUGCAUGGUUGUAUUUCUUAGACCAGUGAGCGGCAGUGGGAAUUGUCAUCUCUGCUGCUGCAUGGAAUGGUGGAAAUUUGUUGAGUCCAGUCCAAAGCUUCACUGAAUUAAUUAGUAGCAAAUUCUUGGUCUCUGUAGCAACAUAAUCUACAGCUGCUCUUGGUCUUCCAACUUUCCCUGCCUCAUGUGUUACUUUCUGAAUCAAGAAUUUUGUUUUGUCUGUAAGCUGCUUAGCAAUAUGAGUAGCAUGCUCACUGAACUUGUCGGUUGCUUCAUCCACCUACUCAAAUCAUAUGCUAGUCAGUUAAUUCAACCACAUCUUAAUAAAUUAAUGAGUCAGUCACUAAUUCAUUUAAAAAUUAUCAGUCUAGUAUGUUUGAAUACUUGUUUUUGUUUUAAUCUGAAAUUGAUUUUACCUUUAAUUAAAAAAAUAUAAGUUAAAAAGUUACAGUCAGUUUUAAAUCAAAGUUAAUUUUUAGAUUAAGAACAAACCAAUCAUCCUGAAAACGCCAAAAUCACAAUGGACUAGAAAUUACAUAUAUAGUAGGUGAGCUCUAAACUCAGAGUGCCAGUUGCCUGUCGCUUAAGCAAAUUUUACUAAUCAAUUAUAUGGAAUCAAAUUUGCAGCCAAACACAUACACUUCAAGGUUUUAGGGUUGCUUUAGCAAAAUAAUCAAGCGUCGUUUCAUGACAAUAAAAAUGGAAUGAUAAAAAAAUUGAGAACUUUGUUUUAUUCAUUUGGCUGGCCAAUGAUGAAUCAAGGAAAUUCCACACCUAAUAUUUCAGCAAGCUGCUGCAUAAGGUUUGUCCAACCAAACCUUUGUUGAUUUCAAAUCAAGCUAUUAUUACUCACUAAAAUACUAGCAUGAAGUUUUUUGUUUUUCCUAUUUUCUAAGGAAAUCAUCACCCUAAAUACAACAUACGUCUUGUGUAGUCGCAAUUUUGACAAAAACUGUACACUUUAAAACUUCAUCAAAAUCAAGGUGUUAGUUUGACACUGAUUUUAUCAAACUCACCUUUAUUUCAAACAUAUUGAUCAUGAUGUUAGUUACAAAAAAAACAGUACGAAUAUUAUACAAAGCUUUCUCCCAAAUUCGCUUUAUCAGUCUAAAUUAGAUCCAUGGGAAAAACCAGAAAGGUUUACAAAUACAUACAAAUAAAGCACAGAUUCAAUCUAAAUUAUUAAUCUGAAAGCAAAGGGAGAGAAAAUCACCUUGUUGUCAACAAAAACAAGGACAUCAUCAGGGACGUCCUUGAAUUUGUUGUAGACAGGACCAACAACAGUGGUUACGGCUCCCUCCACUGUUUCAACAACGGAUCUCAAAGGUCCCGCGUUCUUCUUAGCGGAUUCAUACAGAUAUGAGAUAAACACAUAAGUAUGAAUAGCAGCGAUCUUCAAAAACCCUAGGUGCUUUAGUUCUUUGUUCGUGUAUUCAACCUUCAGAAAUUACAAACUUCAACUCUAUUAAAC